rnacentral:rRNA from 1 species
GAGAGGCCCUCUGGGUCCAACCUCCCACCCGUGUUUAUUUUACCUUGUUGCUUCGGCGGGCCCGCCUUAACUGGCCGCCGGGGGGCUUACGCCCCCGGGCCCGCGCCCGCCGAAGACACCCUCGAACUCUGUCUGAAGAUUGAAGUCUGAGUGAAAAUAUAAAUUAUUUAAAACUUUCAACAACGGAUCUCUUGGUUCCGGCAUCGAUGAAGAACGCAGCGAAAUGCGAUACGUAAUGUGAAUUGCAAAUUCAGUGAAUCAUCGAGUCUUUGAACGCACAUUGCGCCCCCUGGUAUUCCGGGGGGCAUGCCUGUCCGAGCGUCAUUGCUGCCCUCAAGCCCGGCUUGUGUGUUGGGCCCCGUCCCCCGAUCUCCGGGGGACGGGCCCGAAAGGCAGCGGCGGCACCGCGUCCGGUCCUCGAGCGUAUGGGGCUUUGUCACCCGCUCUGUAGGCCCGGCCGGCGCUUGCCGAUCAACCCAAAUUUUUAUCCAGGUUGACCUCGGAUCAGGUAGGGAUACCCGCUGAACUUAAGCAUAUCAAUAAAGCGGAGGAA